AGAGUCGAGAUGUAACCGCCAUGGGGUAGGAAGCCCGGAAAGUUCUCCGCACGUGUGAUAGCGUGUGGGAAGCCUGUUGAUUUUUCUCUCUGCUGAUUUUGUGCCCUGACAAGAGGCCGAAAGUGUUGAUCAGCUGUAUGCACUUUCUGAUGGAGUCCUCGGGAUUUCCGGCAGAGAAUCUUACCAUCUGUAAAUAAGGGGCGUUGUUUUGGCAGGCUUUUAUAGGCUGUGACUUCAAGGACAGUGACUCCAAGGACGGCUGCCAGCUGCAGUCUGAAUGGAUUUAGCACACACAGACUUAACCAGGGCCACUGUGAAUCUCAAGGCUCACUCUCCUAAAUCUCGCAGCCGACACGGCAACCUGUUGAAGGAAAUAUAAAAACUCGAGAAAAUACAUAUAAAGUCAAAAUGUACGGUGAAUUUCUUCACUCUUAACUGUAAAAGGGUGUGGAUGGUUUUCCUGCUGUGUCCCCUUCCCCAGGUUUAUUUAACCUAUUGCCACCAAAAAAUCCAUAAUUAGUAAUUUUUAGGUAAUCGGUGUUAAAAAUGAUGGCAAUGUUACUAAUUUGUAGUUCUAUUUCCAUUUAAGAUAUUUCUGGAAUUAUUUUGUAGAAUAAAAAAAUAAAGCAGAUGUAGCCAUAUAGUCAAUUAUAUAUAGAAUUACAGAUGAGACAUCCAUUGGUAAAACCAACUUACAGUUUUGUAUUGUCCCUGAACAAUUACUUUGAUAAUGAAUUCAGCCCAUGGUCAAAACUGUGGUUGUCUCACCAUGGUGAGGUAAGCACCUGGGCCUUCUGGGUCCCGUACUGUAUUUGCUCAACACGUCAGAAUCUACCCAAGGACUUAGAACUUGGAUAAUGGAGUGCCAGUCUUGAAAGCUUCUUCGGAAAUAAAGCCAUUGUGCUGGCAAAUGUGUCUGUCCAUUUCUAAAGCUCUAAAUCCAAUUUGGGGGGGGGCUCGAGAUGAAAAUGCUCUAUUCCUGGUACUGAGAAUGUCUCUGAUGAAAGUCAACUCCACAGGGGCAUUGGACCAAAUGCUGGGGGAACAAUGCCCUUUAUCACAUAAAACUAUGUCCCCAAUUCAUUCACACAGAGGUUAUUUUUAAAAAGUAGGUUUCCUCGGCCAAGGUCACAAAACUUUGUGAUGGCAUAGGGUAAUUCAUGCAGUACCUUCAAAAAGCUACUUCUUCAUAUAAGGACACUUCUGGGGAAAAAGAAAUACAGUGUUGGUCAACUCAUCUGCUUUUCUUUUAUGUUGGCCUCAGAAAGGGAAGGAUUGGUUAACCCUGGAAGCAAAAGCAAGGCUGGUUAGAAAUAUGGCAUCCCACUGAGAAAGGUUUGUUUUUAAAAUAGGUCUUAGGAUUUUUCAGAGUGGAUGCUUUUACCCAGACUCUUAAAUAAACAUUAUAGUUCAAUUUGGAAGCCAAUUAUAAUACAAAAAGAAAAAAAAGAUAGCCCCUGUAUUUUCCUGACAAAAGUGAAAACGAUUUUCCUCUACAGUAUGGUAUAUCACUGGAAGAGUGUUUUGCUUCUUAUUUCCUAGAGGGAAUGUCCCAAAGAAUCCAUAAUUCCUUUUAAUUAAUUUGCCUACUUAAGAGAAAAAGGCAUUGCUUCCAAAGCCUUUGUCACUCAGACUGGUGGCUCUGGAAAGGGAAGUCAACCUGGGAGACCUGCCGAGAUUCUGGGACUCAUGCCUUGCCUGCAAACAAGAUGCCAUGGUACGUAUAACAUGGCUGCCGGAAAUGAAAGCAUGUAGACCUCCAGAAGAGAUGCUGUGUGUAGCCGGUGAGAGGCCGGCUUCAUGCUAGCAAGGAAAGGAGGGGUAGAGUUCAUCUCUCUCUAAGGCUGAGCAGGAAAAUGAUUCCAGUGGUUAGGGAAGCAGCACCGGGGAUGGGGGGCGUGGGGGGGAACCUCCCUGUCCUCACUGCAGGUCUGUCUCCCUCCCCUUCCUUCCUCACUAAUUAAAAUGUAGUUUACAUUCUUAAAGGGCAAAAACAAAAAAAAACAGAAACAAAAAAGAUUUUUCAGCGUUCUGUCGGCUCCGAUCCUAGGAAGAAAGAAGAGACGGCAUCCUCAGAAGGGCCACUGAUCAGACACUGUUGGCUCAGCGUUUGAAAGCCCCACACAGCGACUCCCAACUCUCAGUCUCUCCAGUCUCGGGCGACACAGCGCCCUCCUUUGGUCUCCGCAGUCACUGCACCUACACGAUGCACAAACACACACACACACGCACGCACACACACACACACGGCAGGUGGCGCUCACACGUAUGAAAUAAACACAAAGGCUGGGAGAGAAACAAAGCUUUUGCGAAAACCAAGGGUCUGUUGACAAAGUAGGAGGAGGGCUGAGGAAGCCUGCAAGAGAGAAGGACCUGAAAUCAGAACAUGGGGUGGUUUGGGAAAGAAUGCUCACCCCUUCCUACGCUGCCCACCCCACAGUCACAUGUUUAAAUGCUUAGUCAUAAGGGCAGGGCGUGGCAAGACUGGAGAAGAAUUUGGUGUGGCCCUGUUGGAGGAAGUGUGUCCCUGGGGGGUGGGCUUUGAGAUGUCAGAAGCUUACACCAGGCCCAGUCUUUUCCAACCCACCCUGCCCUCGCCAGCAGUUCAGAAUGUACUUCCUAACUACUUCUCCAAGGCCACGUGUGUGCUGCCACGCUCCCCGCCGUGAAGACUGACCAUAGAAACGGAAAGCAAACCCCCGCCCCGGUUAAGCCGUUUCUUUCCUGGCAGUCUCCUUGGUCAUAGGUGUUUUCUCACAGCAACAGAGGAGAGACUUAAGACAGAGCAUAACAGAGCUUGCUGAAGUGACUUUCUAAUUUCCCUCCCGGGACACAGAGUAGGACAGAAGGGGCUGCGUAUGGAGGCAGUAGAGCAAAGAAUAUCCCGGCGUGAGUAUCUAGUGUGUUCCCAGAAAUCUUAAAGAAAAAAUAUAUAUGUAUGUAUGUGUAUGUAUGUGUGUGUGUAGUGUAUGUGUAUGUAUGUAUGUGUAUGUAUAUAUAUUUUUUUCUUGUUAGUGUUACUAUUUAAUGUGUUAGGAUAGGAGAGGACAUAGCACAGAACUCAAAAAUUUAUGAUGAUAGAACCUUGUAUCUAAAUCUCUCACUGAAACAUUCCUUCACAUAAACCUCUUGAAGAAGAGGAUUUUUGAUAAAAUUCGGGAAAUUAUGAAGUUUGAACCCCUUCAGCUAAGAGUAGUAAAGGCAGGGCUAGCUGAGCUAGUGGACACGCACAGGGGAGCGUGCAGGCUGUGUGCAAAUAUUCCUAAGAGACAGACCUUGCCCUGGGUGGCAGGGUGCAUGUGGUCUAAUCAUCGUUUGACUUUUGCAGCCUGGAUCAGGAUCACACUCAGCUGCUUAGGUCUGGUACUGAAUUAGCCCCCUAGCCUCCUUCCUAUGCACUCGUGAUACAGCAUUACUUUCUUGAUAGUUUGACUAUUUAUGUUCUCGGUUGUCUGGUUUUUUAAUUUCACGUUUUUCCCCUGCCCCAAAAUAGCUGAAUGUCUUUGUGUGGGGGGAAGCAGACCUUCUGAGAGCUUGGCUCAGUCUCCUGUACCAAGAUUUCCCUGUUUCAUCUCUCCCCACUAACUUUGUAAGCAGGAACAAAUUUAUCUGGUUUUUGUUUUUUAAAAAAAUCAUCAAUUCAUUCUGAAUUUCAUACAAUGUGCUUUGAGUGUUUUCGUGUCUGCUUCUCCCUAACUCCUCCUAGGUUCACUCCCAUCGUACCCCAGUGCUCCCUCCCUGUGAAGCAGACCAACAAAGAGACUGUCAUGAGGUCUGAGGAGUUUGACAGCUAUAUGACAUAUACAGAAUACUAUACUGGCAGAUACUGAGGCAGCACCGAAUAUGAAUUCACUGCUGCUAUUAUCCCUACAGCAAAGCAUUCGUGUUCAUCAACUGUCAGACAGAAUUGAACUCUAAAUAUAGGCUUCAUUUUUUUUAAUCUCAUGUGAUUUUACCCAGUUAAUUAAAUUUAACUUUGGAUUAUCUUUUUUUGUAUGAUACAUUUUUUUUAAGUUGAUGAUUUCUUGAUAAAAGGCAGAGGAUGCGGGAUUCUAGAACUGACCGUGACAGGCAUGAGAAGUAAAAUUCCUCUCAGAGAAGGUCUCAUGAGUCAGGAAGAUGGCUUAGAAGUGGCUUUAGUUUGUCCACCAAAGGCUCUUGUGUUGGAAGCUUGACCCUUGUUGUGGGGAAUCUGAGAGUGGGGUGGAGUUUGGAGAGUGCUGAGGAUGCAGUCCUGUGGAGGAAUCAGAAUGAUUCCUGUGGGAGCCUCAGCUCCUAUGCGAGCGCUGUUAUAAAAGAUGCAGCCUUGGCCUUGGAUGUCUUUCUGUGGUUUUUUUCUGUGUGAUAACGGCAUGGGAUCUCCACCAGAGUUAAGGUGAUGACUAGUGCCAUGCUUUUGGCACGACACACUUAGGAGCUGAAUAAACCUCUCUCCUUUAGGAAGUUUUCAAGCCUCGGGUAUUUACUAUGGCGACAGAUAAAAUGAUUUGAAGUGACAAGACAUAAUGACUCCUCUACUUCUAAUAUGCCUAAACUGUGAUGGCAAAACCAAGAAAGAGUAUCUGUUUGCAUUAGCAGCAAAUUAGCCUGGGUGGCUCCUGAGUUCUUGUUACUCAUAUAUGCAUGUGUAUUUUGUUACGAAAUAUGAAUUUGAUGAACAUAAACAUGUACCUAUAUCUGGAUAAAAAUAAAGGAUAUAGGUUGUGAUAUAAAUUUAGUGUACCUCUGUUGUGGUGCAGAGAACUCAACCCAGGGUCUUGCAUAUUCUAGACAAGAGCUCCAACACCUAGCUACUCCUUGCCUUCAUAUUGAUUUUUUUAAACUUAUUUCUUCCAAUGUGCAUACAUUUAUGGGUAUGUACUACCAAGCAAAAACGCAACAUUAAUUUUGUUUGUUUUAGGCUAACUACUUUGAACUAAACAAACACUAAAGAAAUGUACUUUGAAUGAAUAAACAUGCAGCUAUAAUGAAAGAAUAGCAUUAUUUUUCAUAUACAUACUACACUGUAUUCUAUAAUCUCUUGAGACUGGAAAUUGGGUUGCUUUCAGAUACCAUUGAACAUUUCUGUAUAGAUUACCAGAAAUGUAACUAGGAUCAAAGCCUGCCUGGAAAUGAAUUUUCAUAUUCAAAGAUGUGUACAUGUAUUUCAGUUGUUCUCUAGAAAAAAUUAUGC